CCUGACCUUUUUUUUUUUUUUUUUUCCAAGCCCAGCAUGGAGCCCAAUGCAGGGCUUGAACUCAUGACCUUGAGAUCAAGACCUGGGCUGAGAUCAAGUGUAGGGACACUUUACCCACUGAGCCACCGUGGAGCCCCUGACUUUUUUUUUUUUUUUAACCUCACAUGUUGAUCUGGUCUUUGGGCUCUAAGGUGUAAAUAGGGGAAUGAAGUAGAGACCAAAAAAAAAAAAAAAAAAACCACAGAAGGAAGCUAGGUGAAUAAAGUCAUUUUAUUGAAGACGUGGCCGGAUUCCACUCAGGGUGGAGGGAGGCCUAAACAGGCGCCCUGUACAGAGGCUGCGGGGCUGCCAGGGCUGCCAGGUGCCUGGUGCUUCAGGCUCGGGGCAGGGUUGGGGGGGACAGCAGCAGGGCCACCGGUGGGGACUCAAGCAGCGCCGGCUUCCCGACUUGUGCUGUUGGGGACUGAGCGGGUCCCUGCUGCUGUCCUUAAUGCUCAAGCCAGACCCCGAGGACAGAGGGACACAGGGUGAAAAUGGUAACUGUAAACACUGUGGUUUCAGUUUCAGUAAAGAGGAGGCGGGAAGGAGGCACAUGGGGACAUAGAAAAAGCAGCUGUGAGGAGAUGUCAUCGCAGAGCUCCAGGAGGGCCAGCUCCCUUGCUAGACAAUGUGGCUGCCGCUGUCAUUUCUAUCCCCCAGCUCAGAAUCUGGAAAGCAAGAAGGUGUCUCAGGCUGGAGAGCCAUGGUGGAUGAUGUCCGGGAGGGGUUCCCCAGCAAGAAGGUUGGCAGGGUCACCACAGAGCCACAAAGAGGCUGGCAUCUCCUGCUGCGACCUGGUGGGCCCUGAUGUUUGGUCUUUUCCCCCCUUUUCACCUGAACCCAGCCUGGACAGCAGGUCACAGCUGUGACUCAGCUCCGCCAACCAGGUGAGUCAGGCCAGGCUGCCGGGGACCAGAGGAGAGUGUGGGCAGGGGGAGGCCUGGAGGCGGGGGCAUCUGCCUCGGGCUGCCCUGGCUUGUCUGGAUUGAUCGCAGCCCCGGCGGGAAGUAGGCAAGGGCUGCACCUGACCAGCGUGCCAGGACGGUCCCUCUGCGCGGGGCUCCCCUCUACCCCGGCGGCAUCCGGGGUGGUCCGGGGCUGGCGGUAGGUAGAGAGAACGUAGACCUACCAUUCCAGGGGAGAUCUGACUGCUCCCACAUUGGGGCGGAUCCUACAGCUUCCCGAAGAGGGAUGGCAGGCGACGAUCAGUGGGACCACCUGCCUCUGAGCGACGCAGGAGGGCAGCAGCGCUGCGCCCGGCACUAGCAGGGAGGGCCCUCGGGUCUCCUCCGCGGUGACUGGUUUUUGUAAGCAGCGCCCCAGGGAUGCUCUUCUCCAGCCCUCCAGAGAGGGGAGCCUUCCCGUGCGGCCGGGACUCGGAGGUCCUCCUCCGCCCCCGUCCCACACCAGACGCCCUGGGGAAGGCUGGGUCCCGGACACAGCAAGGCGACAGCGGCCCGCGCUGGGCACUAGGGGUCGC
rnacentral:lncRNA from 1 species